rnacentral:rRNA from 1 species
CACGUAGGGGGCAAGCGUUGUCCGGAUUUAUUGGGCGUAAAGAGCUCGUAGGCGGCUUAGUAAGUCGGGUGUGAAACCUCCAGGCUCAACCUGGAGACGCCACCCGAUACUGCUGUGGCUAGAGUCCGGUAGGGGAGCGUGGAAUUCCUGGUGUAGCGGUGAAAUGCGCAGAUAUCAGGAGGAACACCAGCGGCGAAGGCGGCGCUCUGGGCCGAGACUGACGCUGAGGCGCGAAAGCGUGGGGAGCAAACAGG